rnacentral:lncRNA from 1 species
UAACAAACAAACAAACAAAACAAAAGCGAUCUCACACCAAAAGCCCUUUCCGUUCAUGGAUUUAUGGUCUUUCAGUCAAAUACGCAGGCCGACUUUGCAUGCCCUUUACCGCUAGGGAGACAAGAACAAGAGAAUUCGGGUCAAUAAAAGCCGGCGGUUUUCCGUACCUCUGCAGCACUUUCUUGGUGGAGGUGUUUAUUUUGUGAAGAUGGAGUUCAAGGCUAACAAACAGCAAUGGUCCAAGUCAGGUGUUCCCAAUACUGCAUCAACUUAGAUGUGUUGGACAUUCAGUCUUCAGAUACCAUUCCGUACGUCCCUCAGUCCGCCUUGAAAAGAGGAAGCCUCAUUUUUUUUACGCACGGGUCAUCUCGAUUGCUUCUUCCACAUCUGACAAAGAGGCUGCUCUCCAUUUUGGAUGCAUGUGAAGCUGGAUGGGAUAAUAAGGCACUGUGAUGGAGGCAAUGAAGAAAGUAGUUACAGUCUUCCACUGUGACCGCUAACGUGAUCUUCAGCGUCAUAGAAUCGUAGAAUCACCCAGGUUGGAAAUGACCCCCAAGACCAUCUAGUCCAACCAUCCACCUACACCAGUAUUUUGCCACCACACCACCAGUGCAACAUCUAAACGUUUCGUGAGCACCUCCAGGGACGGUGACCCAACCGCCUCCCUGGACCGCCGGUUCCAGCACCUGACCACUCUUUUGGAGAAGAAACGUUUCCUAAUAUCCAACCUGAGCCUCCUCUGGCACAGCCUGAGACCAGUGCCUCUAGUCCUAUCGCUAGUGACGCGGGAGAAGGGGCCCACUCCCCAGCCCACAACAGCCUCCUUUCACAGAGUUGUAGACAGCGAUAAGACGUCCCCGGAGCCUCCUCUUCUCCAGACUGAACAACCCCAGUUCCCUCAGCUACUGCUCGUGAGCUUGCUCACUCUGCCGCAAGCCUGUAGCAAUACAUGGGGUUGUUGCGGCCAAAGUGCAAGACUUGACACUUGAUCUUGUUGAACUUCCUCCCUUUGGCCUCAGACCAGCUAUCCAGCCUGUCCAGAUCCUUCUGUAGGACCUUCCAACCCUCAGCAGAUAGACGCUUGCUCCCAACGUGGUGUCAUCUGCAAACUUACUGAGGGUGCACUCAAUCCCCUAAUCCAGACCAUCAGGAAAGGUAUCAAACAGGUCUGUCCCCAGUACUGACCCACGAGGAACACCACUGGUGACCGGUCGCCAGCUGGAUUUAACUCCAUCCACCACCACUCUCUAGGCCUGGCCAUGCAGCCAGUUCUUUACCCAGCAAAGACGGCACCUGUCCAA